rnacentral:rRNA from 1 species
UAGGGAAUCUUCCGCAAUGGACGAAAGUCUGACGGAGCAACGCCGCGUGAGCGAAGAAGGCCUUCGGGUCGUAAAGCUCUGUUGUUAGGGAAGAACAAGUACGAGAGUAACUGCUCGUACCUUGACGGUACCUAACCAGAAAGCCACGGCUAACUACAUGCCAGCAGCCGCGGUAAUACGUAGGUGGCAAGCGUUGUCCGGAAUUAUUGGGCGUAAAGCGCGCGCAGGCGGUCCUUUAAGUCUGAUGUGAAAGCCCACGGCUCAACCGUGGAGGGUCAUUGGAAACUGGGGGACUUGAGUGCAGAAGAGAAGAGUGGAAUUCCACGUGUAGCGGUGAAAUGCGUAGAGAUGUGGAGGAACACCAGUGGCGAAGGCGACUCUUUGGUCUGUAACUGACGCUGAGGCGCGAAAGCGUGGGGAGCGAAACAGGAUUAGAUACCCUGGUAGUCCACGCCGUAAACGAUGAGUGCUAAGUGUAGA